UCCGUGCCGCAGUUAACACAAUAAGUAUUCCACCUGGGGAGUACGACCGCAAGGUUGAAACUCAAAGGAAUUGACGGGGGCCCGCACAAGCAGUGGAUUAUGUGGUUUAAUUCGACGCAACGCGAAGAACCUUACCAGGAUUUGACAUCCCACUAACGAAGUAGAGAUACAUUAGGUGCCCUUCGGGGAAAGUGGAGACAGGUGGUGCAUGGUUGUCGUCAGCUCGUGUCGUGAGAUGUUGGGUUAAGUCCCGCAACGAGCGCAACCCUUAUUGUUAGUUGCUACGCAAGAGCACUCUAGCGAGACUGCCGUUGACAAAACGGAGGAAGGCGGGGACGACGUCAAAUCAUCAUGCCCCUUAUGUCCUGGGCUACACACGUAAUACAAUGGCGGUCAACAAAGCGAAGCAAAGCCGCGAGGUGGAGCAAAUCGCAAAAAGCCGUCCCAGUUCGGAUUGCAGGCUGCAACUCGCCUGCAUGAAGUUGGAAUUGCUAGUAAUCGUGGAUCAGCAUGCCACGGUGAAUACGUUCCCGGGCCUUGACAC
rnacentral:rRNA from 1 species